rnacentral:lncRNA from 1 species
UUCUUGAACCAGCAGGCUGCUUUGCAGCUGAUCCACAGUCAUUGUGGUGGUAUCAUUAGACUCUUCAAUUGAGCACACCACAUAAUUGAACCUUGAGGUUAAAGAUCUCAAGAUCUUUUCAACUAUUGUGCUCUGAGUGAUGGUGUCACCAUGGCUUGUCAUCUUGUUUGCAAUACUCAGUGUUCUUGAAAAGUAUUCAUCAAUAGACUCACCAAUUCACAUGUUCAGCAUCUCAAAUUCUUUCCUCAGAGCUUGCAGCUGAGCUCUCUUGACUUUGGUGGAUCCACAAUACUUCUGGCGCAUUGAAUCUCAUAUCUCUUUUGCAGUACCUCGAGUGAGGAUUGUUUCAAGAAUGGAUCUUUCUAUUGCUUGAAACAAAAAAUUCUUUGCUUUCAAAUCUUUCAACUUGCUCUUUCUUGCAGCUUGAAUUUGAUCUUGAGUUGCUCCUGCAGGAGCCUCAAUUACUCCAUCCUCGAUGAGACUCCAAUACUCUUUGGAUCUCAAGAGAUUCUCCAUUAACAUUGACCAGUGAUCAUAGUGACCAUCAAACUUGGGAAUUGAUGGUUGCAGGUAGUUGCUUGAAUCCGCCAUGGAAUCUUCAAGCAAGAACGCGAUGAAGAACUUUGUAACUAACUACGGUUAUUGCAAAGGCUGGAUCUUUAGAAGGUANNN